rnacentral:siRNA from 1 species
AUGAAUACGAUGGUACAACGGUA